rnacentral:rRNA from 1 species
UACGUAGGGCGCAAGCGUUGUCCGGAAUUAUUGGGCGUAAAGAGCUCGUAGGCGGCUUGUCACGUCGGAUGUGAAAGCCCGGGGCUUAACCCCGGGUCUGCAUUCGAUACGGGCAGGCUAGAGUGUGGUAGGGGAGAUCGGAAUUCCUGGUAUAGCGGUGAAAUGCGCAGAUAUCAGGAGGAACACCGGUGGCGAAGGCGGAUCUCUGGGCCAUUACUGACGCUGAGGAGCGAAAGCGUGGGGAGCAAACAGG